CUUAUUUCUAAGUUCAAUGUUAUUGAGGUCUUUGGAUUUGAUUAUCUCAACUGAUAACCUGGACAACUAUGUAAAUAUCAUGUGUCAUUGAACCUGCAGCUACCUUUGUUUGUUAAUAAAACAAGUUUAGCCGUGGAAAUUUCUAAAGUUCAAGGACUUGACAUGAUAUUUUCAAUGUUGUUUUUAAAUUCAGUUAUAAAAGAAUAUGUGCACUUCUUAAUUUUUUUUUUUAAGCUCAUGUCUUCUAUUUAAUUUCCCCCACCUUACAAGACCAACCAGUGAAUUUUAAGUUAUUUUCCCAGCUAUCAUAGGGUGCAAUACUUAUUAUAUCCAUCGUGUUUACACCAAAGGCUGUAGCGGCAUGUUUAAAUGGCAAAUUGUUUGCUGGCCGCCAUAAUAUGUCAUCUGCAAUUGAUAACAGUGGAUUCAAUUAUAGUCCAAGGAUAGUUCCAUCUCCUACCAUGUAGAUAAUUUUCUUUGGCAACAGACAACAAUGUGAAUCUUUCAUGAUAUGUAAGUCGAUUGUCUGUAAUUAAACACAACCAUGGUACUGUAAUUAUUGCAUGAAUCUGUCUUUCUUAAUUGUUUACCAUGUAUAGUCUUCACAUUUAUCUUUGGUUAAGAAUAUAUGUGGAGAGAUGGUAUAAAAAAACUGUAUCUUACAAGAAAAUAUGUAACAAUGCCUCUUUACUGGCAUUUUGCUGGGAGUAAGUAGCUUCUCAUAAUCAAUGGGCUUGCCUUUUGAGGGAUAGACCAUUCAAAUAUAAUGGCCACUAUACUCUAAGAUCAACUAUCUCGGAUGUAUUGAAUGUAGCAGAUUGGUAAUCGACAGAGCAUUAUUUUCUUGAUUGAUAAAUGGUUGUCUAAAACUUUGGUUGAUUAUUGAGUAUUCCUCAGCAUAUGCAUCAUUGUUUAAAGGCUGAAGUCUCUAGUUUUAUUGGUAAUGGUAGUUGGAAAAUUCCCAUCAACUUGCUGCAAAGGUAAAAGGUUGUAGGAAGGAUUGUGUGUGAACUCAUUUGAUUUAAUUCUCUACUUCAACUACGGCUAUAAGCUUGAAUUUAAUGUAUGAUAAUUUAUGUUAAUCACUUGGUGCUAAACAAAUAAACAUCUAAUUUUUCAAUAACCAACCAUGUUUUUUUUCUUUUCUGAGAGGAUAACUAACCAUGUCUUAAGAGGGAGUCUUGGAAUUUACUGAAAUGAAAUGUGGCUUAGGGUUAACAAAUUAAGCGGCUUAUAGUAUAGGAGCUUAUUAUAUAAGUAUUUAUACAUAAGGUAUUUUUAUACAAAAGAUUAAACGGAGUCAAAUUAUUUUCAUAUAAGCUAAAAGAUUAAACGUAAGCUCUCUUGAACAGUCUCAUAACAAGUGCUUAUGUCAAUAGAUGAUAAAUUUAAAUAAAUCAAUCCAAACCUGUACUAAGAGAUACAUAUCUAAGUAAUGGAAUCAGUCUUUUUCAUAUGCAAAUGCAAGUUGUGGACCUGACACUAUAUUGCAGAGAUUUAUUGCAUCAUGUUUCCUUGUUUUGUAUUAACUAUGUUCAAAAUUCAAUGUCAUGAUAAGGUAAAGUAAUUUUGGUCAGGGCCUUAAUUUGGGUGACAUCUCUGCAACCCUAAUUAAGGUCGCAUAAGCUGCUUUUGACUGUGAUCUGUAACCGUAAUGCAAUUUAGAACUUUAAUAUCAAUAAUGUUUCAGAGAAGGUUGGCCUUGAACAAGAGAUGCGUAGGAAACGAGCUCUCAUGAUUUCCAGUUUCCACAAUGCUCCCUCCUUCAACAAUAGCUAUCAUAUCUGCAUUCCUAAUUGUAGAAAGUCUGUGUGCCACUAUCACAGUUGUAGAAACUUUGGUGAUACCUCUCCAAACAGGGGUGGCACGAUGGUGGUGUUCUACUAUAGAGGGUGAGUUUGAUCUUUAUUGGGAUCGGCGAUCGGCAAUCAUAGAUCAAGCUAAAUUCAUCAUAUAGCUUGGCUAAUAGUGCGAAGACAAUGAAAACCACUGCUACCCUCAUCCUUUGGUUUACAAAUGUUAACCCAAGAGAUUAAGUAGCCGCUGAUAUUGUUC
rnacentral:lncRNA from 1 species